rnacentral:rRNA from 1 species
GGGCUCACACAAGCGGUGGAGCAUGUGGCUUAAUUCGAAGCAACGCGAAGAACCUUAUCCUGGGUUUGACAUGUACGGAUUAACUCCCUGAAAGGGGAGCCACGCCUUCGGGUGGAACGUACACAGGUGUUGCAUGGCUGUCGUCAGCUCGUGCUGUGAAGUGUCGGGUUAAGUCCCUUAACGAGCGCAACCCCUGUCGCUAGUUGCCAGCACAUAAUGGUGGGGACUCUAGCGAGACUGCCGGUGUUAAACCGGAGGAAGGUGGGGACGACGUCAAGUCCGCAUGGCCUUUAUGCCCAGGGCUGCACACGUGCUACAAUGGUAGGUACAGAACGACGCAAUACCGCGAGGUGGAGCAAAUCGCAAAAACCUGCCCCAGUUCGGAUUGGAGGCUGCAAUUCGCCUCCAUGAAGUUGGAAUCGCUAGUAAUCGGGGAUC